ensembl:lncRNA
CUUUCGCAUCGUCAUUACAUACAUGCCUAUGCAUGCAGGCCAGGCCAGAAAUAAGAGAAGCUGCUUCUCUCCCAGCUUCUCUCUCUCUAAAAGGCUUGCUGGAAGGCCACACGGACAAAAACACAGUGUGGAAGGAGAACAGGAGAAGAGGUGAAAAAGAGAAGUUUGUCGUUAGGUUGUCUAUGCGACGGACGCCCUGUUGGGACAACAGAUGUGCAUGAUGUCAUGCCAGAGGAGGGGUGGAGAGAUGCAGGGAGGAGCGAGAGACAUGAGGGUGGACAACGUUCCUCUUGGCACAGGGCAGAGAAGGAGAACGGUUGGUGAGGGGCAGGGAGUGGAUGGAGUUCCUAAACCUUGCAUCCCAUGGAGUGCAUGCUAAAUCCCUAACAUUCUGCAUUUAACAGUUUAGUGCAAUGAUGUGUGACACUGGUAGCACAAUAUGGCUUAGCAAUAUGCAGGCACCGAAAAAUCACUGCACUGUGUUUCAUAUGACCAGAAAUGAACUAUAAAAUCGGUACAAGAGUGCAGUAAUGAAGCAUAUGCUACACAAAACCCAGGCUCUCGUGAGGACAUGCUCCCAGAGCUCAGAGUUUGUGAUUUGAUUGUGUGACUUCAAUGCUAAACUUUCUGCCUCUGUCUCCUGACUCUCUCUCUCUCUCUGUCAGUGGCAUAAGAAGUCAAUUGUUCUUGUGGUAUGCAGUGACAAUGUCUGUUUGUGAUUGCACAGAGCCAGAGAGGGGGAGCAUCAUAUACAGAAAUUGUGGUUCUCUAUUCUAGGCCUAGGAGCUCUCAAUAAGGUCAUGCAGAGGUCAAAACGCUUUCUGUUGCAUACAAAAACAGUGUGUUUGUGCGUGCGUGUGUGUACAAUAUCAAUUGUGCCAGUCAUUAUUGACAAAAGAUCAAAUUUUGCUCAUUUGCUGCUUUAGCUCCAUAAACACACAUCAAAACCCUCCAUGUCAUUUUUCUCUUUAUUAUAAACAUGUAUGGUGCAAGGUACAGGCUUACGUUAAGGACUUCCAAAUUGUUUAUUCUUAUCAGGUGAACAAGCAGCAUGUCAAAACACAAAGAGUUGUACAUAUUGAACUUAAAGUAACUGUGCUGAAUGAAUUCCCCCAAAUUUUGUUGAAGACAAGCAAAACCUGUUUGGUCAAUGGUGCCAUCUGCUGCCACAUGUACUUGAUCCCACUGUCAGCCUGUCAGCCAGGCCAUGCACUGUGUUAUUCUCACACACUGCAGCUACAGUGACCUCUGUAUGAGGACACUGACUGGCUGGGUAAUCAUUUUCUAGUGGCCUUGAGUAACACCGGUGUGACAACCAUUGUCUCGACAACUGAAAAGAAUGGAAUUUGCUAUCUGAAAUAAAAGGCUUGAAUGGCCCUUAAGUGUGUAAAGAUAUGCAGCUUGCACAAAACACGUGUACCCGGGCAGGAUAUUUUAUUGUCUAUGAUAUUGUCAGUGUUGUUUGAUAUCCAAUUAAAUUGAGGCCUUAGAGGGAUGUAAAUGUAGUUACAAAUCUGAGAAUAAUCAACUUUUUUAUGUUCUGGUAAAAAAAAAAAAAAACCAUUAUUAUUAUUAAUAAUAAUAACUAAACAUUAUACAGUAAUUACUUCACAGUCCUCUGUGGGAGAAAGUAGAGUGUUUAUAAAAGUUACAAUAACAUGUAAAGAU